ACGACCUCAGAGCAGGCGAGCA
rnacentral:rRNA from 1 species